AUAUGAUAGGGCAAACAAUGAUGAAAACUAACCAUCCAAGGAUUUGGUGGCAAUUUGUUGGUGGUGAAUUUUUUGUGCUUCGAAAAGUUGCUUGUAGAAUCUUGAUCCAAUCUUGUAGUUCCUCUCCUUGUGAGCGUAAUUGGAGUGCUUGGGAUACAACACAAACAAAGAAAAGAAUUAGAUUGGCCCCAGAAAUGUUAGAAGAUUUGGUGUACAUCAAGACGAACUCUAUGAUGAGGGAGAAGUAUGAAAAGCAAGUACUUCAAGAUGCGAGGCCCAUUGAUUUAGCAAAACUUGGUGAUAUACCUGAGAUAGACAUUGAGCCGGAUAUGGAGAUACUUGAACAAACAUAUGAAGAACCUG